rnacentral:misc_RNA from 1 species
AGCCAUACCAAAAUCAGCAAUCUUAGGAACCCACUUAUCAUCGAGUAAAAUAUUGCUGGCCUUGAUGUCACGGUGGAUGAUGCAAUUGUGUGAGUCUUCGUGAAGGUAAAGCAAUCCCCGUGCAAUACCAGUUAUUAUAUCAUACCUCCGCUUCCAAUCAAGCAGCUCUCUCCUAUUGGGUUUGAAGAGAAACUUGUCAAGACUCUCGUUAGCGACAUACUCAUAAACCAAUAGCUUUUGCGUUCCAUGUGCACAGUAUCCUAACAAAUUUACAACAUUCCGGUG